rnacentral:tRNA from 1 species
GCGAGUGUGUUGGAAUAGGUAGACAAAACGGUCUCAAACACCGUCGCCGAAAGGCGUGUGGGUUCAAGUCCCACCACUCGCA